AUUGAACGCUGGCGGCAUGCCUUACACAUGCAAGUCGAACGGCAGCAUGAUCUAGCUUGCUAGAUUGAUGGCGAGUGGCGAACGGGUGAGUAAUACAUCGGAACGUGCCCUGUAGUGGGGGAUAACUAGUCGAAAGAUUAGCUAAUACCGCAUACGACCUGAGGGUGAAAGUGGGGGACCGCAAGGCCUCAUGCUAUAGGAGCGGCCGAUGUCUGAUUAGCUAGUUGGUGAGGUAAAGGCUCACCAAGGCGACGAGCAGUAGCUGGUCUGAGAGGACGAUCAGCAACACUGGGACUGAGACACGGCCCAGACUCCUACGGGAGGCAGCAGUGGGGAAUUUUGGACAAUGGGGGCAACCCUGAUCCAGCAAUGCCGCGUGUGUGAAGAAGGCCUUCGGGUUGUAAAGCACUUUUGUCCGGAAAGAAAUCGCACUUACUAAUAUUAGGUGUGGAUGACGGUACCGGAAGAAUAAGGACCGGCUAACUACGUGCCAGCAGCCGCCGCGGUAA
rnacentral:rRNA from 1 species